rnacentral:rRNA from 1 species
GUAGGUGGCAAGCGUUGUCCGGAAUUAUUGGGCGUAAAGCGCGCGCAGGCGGUUCUUUAAGUCUGAUGUGAAAGCCCACGGCUCAACCGUGGAGGGUCAUUGGAAACUGGAGAACUUGAGUACAGAAGAGGAAAGCGGAAUUCCACGUGUAGCGGUGAAAUGCGUAGAGAUGUGGAGGAACACCAGUGGCGAGGGCGGCUUUCUGGUCUGUAACUGACGCUGAGGCGCGAAAGCGUGGGGAGCAAACAGGAUUAGAUACCCUGGUAGUCCACGCCGUAAACGAUGAGUGCUAAGUGUUAGGGGGGUUUCCGCCCCCCUUAGUGCUGCAGCUAACGCAUUAAGCACUCCGCCUGGGAGUACGGCCGCAAGGCUG